rnacentral:tRNA from 1 species
GGAAGCGUGCCCGAGAACUAAGGGAUACUUUGAUAGAGUAAACACAGAGAACAGCCCUCUCACUUCCCA